AUACAUACUUGGCGUAUGGGAUACCGUGUUCAUGCAGGCGGUUCCCACCAGGGCGAGGCUGCUCCAUUGUCACUGCGGAGUGGUUGACCCUUGCGAUUAUUUUUAUUUUUAUCAAUAAACAAAUCAUAAUUAAAAAUGUAUACC
rnacentral:snRNA from 9 species